rnacentral:rRNA from 1 species
AUUGAACGCUGGCGGCAGGCUUAACACAUGCAAGUCGAACGAUGAAGAUCCAGCUUGCUGGAUUGGAUUAGUGGCGGACGGGUGAGUAACACUUAGGAAUCUACCUGACAGCGGGGGAUAGCCCGGAGAAAUUCGGAAUAAUACCGCAUACCUUCUACGGAAGAAAGGGGGCAGUUUACUGCUCUCACUGACAGAUGAGCCUAAGCAAGAUUAGCUAGAUGGUAGGGUAAAGGCCUACCAUGGCGACGAUCUUUAGCUGGUCUGAGAGGACGAUCAGCCACACUGGGACUGAGACACGGCCCAGACUCCUACGGGAGGCAGCAGUGGGGAAUAUUGGACAAUGGGGGCAACCCUGAUCCAGCCAUGCCGCGUGUGUGAAGAAGGCCUUUUGGUUGUAAAGCACUUUAAGUAGCGAAGAAGACCCCAUGGUUAAUACCCAUGGGCGAUGACAUUAACUACAGAAUAAGCACCGGCUAACUCUGUGCCAGCAGCCGUGGUAAUACAGAGGGUGCAAGCGUUAAUCGGAAUUACUGGGCGUAAAGCGAGCGUAGGUGGUUAAAUAAGUCAGAUGUGAAAUCCCCGAGCUUAACUUGGGAACUGCAUCUGAAACUGUAUAACUAGAGUAGAUGAGAGGGAAGUAGAAUUCCAGGUGUAGCGGUGAAAUGCGUAGAGAUCUGGAGGAAUACCGAUGGCGAAGGCAGCUUCCUGGCACCAUACUGACACUGAGGCUCGAAAGCGUGGGUAGCAAACAGG